rnacentral:lncRNA from 1 species
GUACUGGUUUGUUUGUAUGUAAGGAUAUAUGUGUGUAUAUAUCAUUGUAUGUGUGUAUGCAAUUCGAAAGUGUUAAAUAAGAUAGAAGAUAUAGUUGGUUUUGUUUACGUAAUGCGUAAAUAUAUGUAGGUUUACGUUGUCCAUCGUAUACUUUUUGGUUUAAAUAUGCAUGUAUGUGUAUGUAUAUAUGCAAUUCGAAUGUGUAAAAUAAGAUAGUAGGUAAGUAUAAAUCACUUCUUAGGUAUAAAUACGACCGAAGAUAUAGUUGUCUAUUUUUUGUAAAUAUCUAUCCAAGUUUUUACAUAUAAAUGAAUGUACUUUUAUCCAGCAAUUUAUCUAGUAUAGAUAAACUAUUAUGAUCUAUCUAACUAACAUUCUGACCCCAUAUUGUUUUCAAACAGGCCUAACGGAUGCGUUUAAACGAAUUAGCCAAUUGGAAAUAGAUCAUGAAUUUAAGUGACCGCUCCCUUAACCCAAAUAAAUUUUUUAAAACAUUUAAUAUGCAUAAGUUAAAUAGACAAUGAUUUAAAUGACUGCUCCCUAACCCACAAUGUAAUUUUAAAUAUCUUUAAAUAUUAAUAAGCAUAAACAUAAAUGCAAACCUUUGGACUAAAUUAAACUUUGACAUGGAGUUUAAGUUGCUACUCGGGUUUUAAAAUUAAAUUUGUUUGAUUACGUGGAUGUAUUAAUUUUAAUAUCCAUAUAACAGUAAUGUAAACAUUGUGAAAUCCAAUAUGCAUAUAACAAAGACAUAUUUUGCGAACCUAACCCAGCCUGGACAUAUAAUUCGGACUGAAUAUUUUGGACGCUAAUUAAACUUGUUCGUGCUACGUGGAUGCGUUAAGUAAUAUCUGGAUUAUGUUUGUAUGAUUAAUAUAUUCAUACGCAAAUAUUUUGUUUGUGCAUAUGUAUAUAUAUAUAUAUGUGUGUAUAUGUGAAUAUUUAUACUUCGUACCUUCUUUCGUGAAUUUUUGUUAUGUUAGUACACAUGAAUAUAGUGGGUAUCUUCUGUUUAGUAUUAUCGUUAAAACAAUAAUACUGUUUGUACUAUUGAACGUGGUAGUAUAUAUACAUUAGAAUGCAUUUACUUGACUAUACGGCGCAUGAUAUACCCAAUGUAAUGUAAUAUAUUGUUCAAUGUUGUUCUUUAUGUAUUUUGCGCAUGUGAAUAGUAUGUACGAUUUGACUAUGUAUGUAUAUGUAUGUAUAUUUGUAUAUUUUAUAUAUAUAUAUAUAUAUGUGUUUAUGUAUAUAUAUAUAUAUAUAUAUAUAUAUAUAUAUAUGUAUAUGUAUAUGUAUGUAUGUAUGUAUGUAUGUAUGUAUGUAUGUAUUUUGGAUGUUUGUCUUAUUAUUUAUUUGUUUAUAUCGGAUAAUAAGUGAAGCAUAUUUUGUAUAUCUAUAUUAGUAUUAUACUUUUCAAAUUAAUUAUAUCCUCUGACGAGGGGUUUGGUUAUUUUUACAUACAAGUAUAAUCUUUAAUGCAUAAAACCAUAAUACAUUGACAUCUAUAGGCAACAUAAGUUGAAUUGGCUCUUGACCACAGGUUGAAACAGCUGUAAGGAGCAGUUUAUUUGUAUUAUUUUUAUCAUUAUACUACAUGUUGAUUUAUAUUGUUUUGUUUCAUUUUGAUGUUCCCAUUUGUUUAAUUUAUAAAUGUUAUGAAAUUGUAAUAUCGUAAGUUGAUGAACGAAAUUAAUUUAUUUCUCCAUUUUCAUAUAUAUAUAUAUAUAUAUAUAUAUAAAUAUAUAUACAUAUACAUAUAUAUACAUAUAAACAUAUAUACAUAUACAUAUAUAUAUACAUAUACACAUAUACAUAUAUAUAUACAUAUAUAUAUAUAUACAUUUUUUUUCUUGUUUCAGCUCAGAGCUGCAGCCAUGCUGAUGCACCGCCGUUUUGUGCUACACUGUUAUUAUGAAGAACCUCCUGUAAUAUGUGGCACUUGGUGAAGAAUGGAGUUUGAUAUAGCUACUCUCAUUUGCACCUGUUGCCGUGAGGUAGGUUCAUCUGGGACUCUCGACAGGAAGAUGUCCAGCUUUGAUUUAAAAACCGCUACAUCUACUUUGUGCAAGUUCCUCAGACUCUUUGGGAGAAUAUUAAAAAGCUGUGGGCCCUUGAAAUCCAGGCUGUUGCAGUAGUUGGUCCUGAAGCGUGAUGGCAUUGCUGGGAUCUUUGACACUAUGCAGUGUCAUCCCGUUCUAGCAUUGGUGUAGCUUACAAUGCCAAAAUUUGGCACAAUUCCUUCCAGGAUCUUCCAGACAUAUAUUACUGCAUACCUCUCCCGUCUUCUCUCCAGGGAGUAGAGUCU